rnacentral:rRNA from 1 species
AAAUUGAAGAGUUUGAUCAUGGCUCAGAUUGAACGCUGGCGGCAGGCCUAACACAUGCAAGUCGAACGGUAACAGGAAGCGCUUGCUGCUUCGCUGACGAGUGGCGGACGGGUGAGUAAUGUCUGGGAAACUGCCUGAUGGAGGGGGAUAACUACUGGAAACGGUAGCUAAUACCGCAUAACGUCGCAAGACCAAAGAGGGGGACCUUCGGGCCUCUUGCCAUCGGAUGUGCCCAGAUGGGAUUAGCUUGUUGGUGGGGUAACGGCUCACCAAGGCGACG